rnacentral:rRNA from 1 species
ACGGCUCAGUAACACGUAGCUAAUCUGCCCUUUAGGACGCGAACAACCCCGGGAAACUGGGGCUAAUUCUCGAUAGGUGAAGAACUCUGGAAUGAGUCUUUGCCUAAAAGAGCUUACGUUAUGCUCGUAGGCGUCGCCCAAGGAUGAGGCCGCGACCGAUCAGGCUGUUGGUGAGGUAAUGGCUCACCAAGCCUUUUACCGGUGCGGGCCGUGAGAGCGGGAGCCCGGAGAUGGGCACUGAGACAAGGGCCCAGGCCCUACGGGGCGCAGCAGUCGCGAAAACUUUGCAAUACACGAAAGUGUGACAGGGCUAUCCCGAGUGCCAUCCGCUGAGGAAGGCUUUUACCCAGUCUAGAACGCUGGGGGAAUAAGGAGAGGGCAAGUCUGGUGUCAGCCGCCGCGGUAAUACCAGCUCUCCGAGUGGUGUGGAUGUUUAUUGGGCCUAAAGCAUCCGUAGCUGGCUAAGUUAGUCCCUUGUUAAAUCCACCGAAUUAAUCGUUGGAUUGUGGGGGAUACUGCUUGGCUAGGGGACGAGAGAGGCAGACGGUAUUUCCGGGGUAGGGGUGAAAUCCUAUAAUCCCGGGAAGACCACCAGUGGCGAAGGCUGUCUGCUAGAACGCGCCCGACGGUGAGGGAUGAAAGCUGGGGGAGCGAACCGGAUUAGAUACCCGGGUAGUCCCAGCUGUAAACGAUGCAGGCUAGGUGUUUGGACGGCCACGUGCCGUUCUAGUGCCGCAGGGAAGCUGUUAAGCCUGCCGCCUGGGGAGUACGAUCGCAAGAUUGAAACUUAAAGGAAUUGGCGGGGGAG